AUCUGAAGUCUGACGAGGAUGAGAACCUCCGGAGGCAAGAGGUUCGACCCGAGCGAAGCGAGAGAACGUUGCGUCAGCAACGGCCCGCAGGGCGAGCCACGCAGUGGCGAGUCAUCCUCUAUCACCGACCA
rnacentral:sRNA from 3 species